GUUGGGGUUGUAGCUCAGUGGUAGAGCAUUUUCCUAGCAUGAGUGAGGUACUGGGUUCAAUUCUCAGCCCAGCA
rnacentral:tRNA from 1 species